rnacentral:rRNA from 1 species
AACAAUACAAGGCAGUUAAAAUGCUUUGUAAUUGGAAUGAUAGAAAUUUAAACCCUUUUUAAAGUAUCAAUUGGAGGGCAAGUCUGGUGCCAGCAGCCGCGGUAAUUCCAGCUCCAAUAGCGUAUAUUAAAAUUGUUGCAGUUAAAAAGCUCGUAGUUGAAGUUCUGCUGAAAGUAACCGGUCUGCUUUUAAUAAAAGUGGUAUCUUGGUAUGUAUUUAGCAAUGAUGUCCUUUGAAGUGUUUUUUACUUUAUUGUAAUAAAGCAUAUUCAGGACUUUUACUUUGAGAAAAUUAGAGUGUUUCUAGCAGGCUGACGCUUUGAAUACUGCAGCAUGGAAUAAUAAGAUAGGAUUUUAGUUCUACAUUAUUGGUUUUAAGAGCUAAAUUAAUGAUUGAUAGGGACAGUUGGGGGCAUUUGUAUUUAACUGUCAGAGGUGAAAUUCUUAGAUUUGUUAAAGACAAACUACUGCGAAAGCAUUUGCCAAAGAUGUUUUCAUUAAUCAAGAACGAAAGUUAGGGGAUCGAAGACGAUCAGAUACCGUCGUAGUCUUAACUAAAUAACAACCCAUGCCGACUAGAGAUUGGAGGUCGUCUUUAUAAAC